rnacentral:rRNA from 1 species
GAUGAACGCUGGCGGCGUGCUUAACACAUGCAAGUCGAACGGUGAAGCAGAGCUUGCUCUGUGGAUCAGUGGCGAACGGGUGAGUAACACGUGAGCAACCUGCCCCUGACUCUGGGAUAAGCGCUGGAAUCGGCGUCUAAUACUGGAUAUGAGCUGCGACCGCAUGGUCAGCAGUUGGAAAGAUUUUUCGGUCUGGGAUGGGCUCACGGCCUAUCAGCUUGUUGGUGAGGUAAUGGCUCACCAAGGCGUCGACGGGUAGCCGGCCUGAGAGGGUGACCGGCCACACUGGGACUGAGACACGGCCCAGACUCCUACGGGAGGCAGCAGUGGGGAAUAUUGCACAAUGGGCGAAAGCCUGAUGCAGCAACGCCGCGUGAGGGAUGACGGCCUUCGGGUUGUAAACCUCUUUUAGCAGGGAAGAAGCGAAAGUGACGGUACCUGCAGAAAAAGCGCCGGCUAACUACGUG